AGGGACGUCGUAUAACGGUUAGUAUAUAGGUUUCCAAAACCUCUGAUAGUGGUUCGAUUCCGCUCGUCCUUA
rfam:Cryptococcus gattii R265 mitochondrial scaffold supercont2.28, whole genome shotgun sequence.